rnacentral:rRNA from 1 species
UACGGAGGGGGCAAGCGUUAUUCGGAAUUACUGGGCGUAAAGCGCACGUAGGCGGCGAUGCAAGUCGAAGGUGAAAGCCCUCGGCUCAACCGAGGAAUUGCCUUCGAAACUGCUUCGCUUGAGUCCGGGAGGGGGGAGCGGAAUUCCCAGUGUAGCGGUGAAAUGCGUAGAUACUGGGAGGAACACCGGUGGCGAAGGCGGCUCCCUGGACCGGUACUGACGCUGAGGUGCGAAAGCGUGGGUAGCAAACAGGAUUAGAUACCCUGGUAGUCCACGCCGUAAACGAUGGGCACUAGGUGCAGCGGGUGUCGACCCCUGCUGUGCCGAAGUUAACGCAUUAAGUGCCCCGCCUGGGGAGUACGGUCGCAAGGCUGAA